AGUGAACGCUGGCGGCAGGCCUAACACAUGCAAGUCGAGCGGCAGCGGGUCCUUCGGGAUGCCGGCGAGCGGCGGACGGGUGAGGAAUGCAUCGGAAUCUGCCCUGUCGUGGGGGAUAACCUAGGGAAACUUAGGCUAAUACCGCAUACAACCCACGGGUGAAAGCGGGGGAUCGCAAGACCUCGCGCGAUAGGAUGAGCCGAUGUCCGAUUAGCUAGUUGGCGGGGUAAAGGCCCACCAAGGCGACGAUCGGUAGCUGGUCUGAGAGGAUGAUCGGCCACACUGGGACUGAGACACGGCCCAGACUCCUACGGGAGGCAGCAGUGGGGAAUAUUGGACAAUGGGCGCAAGCCUGAUCCAGCCAUGCCGCGUGGGUGAAGAAGGCCUUCGGGUUGUAAAGCCCUUUUGUCCGGGAAGAAAUCGUCUGGGCUAAUACCCCGGGCGGAUGACGGUACCGGAAGAAUAAGCACCGGCUAACUUCGUG
rnacentral:rRNA from 1 species